AACCCGACUCCAUGAAGCUGGAUUCGCUAGUAAUCGCGCAUCAGCCACGGCGCGGUGAAUACGUUCCCGGGCCUUGUACACACCGCCCGUCAAGCCAUGGAAGCCGGGAGUGCCUGAAGUGCGUGACCGCAAGGAGCGCCCUAAGGCAAUACCGGUGACUGGGGCUAAGUCGUAACAAGGUAGC
rnacentral:rRNA from 1 species